rnacentral:rRNA from 1 species
GAUAGUUGCCAUCAUUUGGUUGGGCACUUUAUCGAGACUGCCGGUGACAAACCGGAGGAAGGUGGGGAUGACGUCAAAUCAUCAUGCCCCUUAUGACCUGGGCUACACACGUGCUACAAUGGGCGGUACAAAGGGUCGCGAACCCGCGAGGGGGAGCCAAUCCCAAAAAGCCGCUCUCAGUUCGGAUUGCAGGCUGCAACUCGCCUGCAUGAAGCCGGAAUCGCUAGUAAUCGCGGAUCAGCAUGCCGCGGUGAAUACGUUCCCGGGCCUUGUACACACCGCCCGUCACACCACGAGAGUUUGCAACACCCGAAGUCGGUGAGGUAAUCCUUACGGGUGCCAGCCGCCGAAGGUGGGGCAAGUGCUUGGGGUGAAGUCGAAAUAAGUUAGCCGUACC